rnacentral:other from 2 species
UGCGAUCUGUGCUUCUCGACAGGAACCACAUUCCUCGGGGCCAUACUCGAUCUAACGGGAGCUGUCCCUGACCAGGCCUGUGGGCUUGGUCACAUGGCGCCCACCUACUUUUGUAGGCGCCCAGGAUCGUAAACAUCCAUCGGAUGCCACGGAUCGCAC